GACGAACGCUGGCGGCGUGCUUAACACAUGCAAGUCGAACGGAAAGGCCCUGCUUUUGUGGGGUGCUGGAGUGGCGAACGGGUGAGUAACACGUGAGUAACCUGCCCUUGACUUUGGGAUAACUUCAGGAAACUGGGGCUAAUACCGGAUAGGAGCUCCUGCUGCAUGGUGGGGGUUGGAAAGUUUCGGCGGUUGGGGAUGGACUCGCGGCUUAUCAGCUUGUUGGUGGGGUAGUGGCUUACCAAGGCUUUGACGGGUAGCCGGCCUGAGAGGGUGACCGGCCACAUUGGGACUGAGAUACGGCCCAGACUCCUACGGGAGGCAGCAGUGGGGAAUAUUGCACAAUGGGCGGAAGCCUGAUGCAGCAACGCCGCGUGCGGGAUGACGGCCCUCGGGUUGUAAACCGCUUUCGCCUGUGACGAAGCGUGAGUGACGGUAAUGGGUAAAGAAGCACCGGCUAACUACGUG
rnacentral:rRNA from 1 species